rnacentral:rRNA from 1 species
GAUGAACGCUAGCGACAGGCCUAACACAUGCAAGUCGAGGGGCAGCAUGAAAUUAGCUUGCUAAUUUUGAUGGCGACCGGCGCACGGGUGAGUAACACGUAUGCAACCUGCCUGUAAGCGGGGGAUAACCCGGAGAAAUUCGGACUAAUACCGCAUAAUAUCAUUAAUUCGCAUGUUUUAAUGAUUAAAAAUUUAUUGCUUACAGAUGGGCAUGCGUAUGAUUAGCUAGUUGGCGGGGUAACGGCCCACCAAGGCGACGAUCAUUAGGGGUUCUGAGAGGAAGGUCCCCCACAUUGGAACUGAGACACGGUCCAA